UGUGAAUAUAUCUCUCUCCAGAGCCAGGUCCUCACUGUAGAUACUUCCUCCAGACCCCUCAGUUUGUGUAGGAGUGAUGUCCAUCAGCAUUUCCUCACAAGUUCAAUCACAGAGAUAGCACUGAAUCACUAUAAAACCAAAUCAGCCAGGACACACAUCUGCCUGUGAAAGAAUGUCAUUUGUCUAUGAAGCCUCGCUGCUUUCUGCAAGCUGUUUUAAAAGGGAAAGAAUUGUAAAAGCAGACAUUCAUCUUGAUAUUUAAGCUAUCUCUAGAAGUGAAGGUGGAAAAAAAGCUACAGAAGAAGAGUAGUGGAAAAAAUCUGUAAUGUAGUUAGCCAAAACUGUACAAAGAUAUCCUGCAGAAGGAGGAAAAGUAAGUUUAAUCUGAACCCAAGAUGUAGUGCAUGCCUUCACAUAGGCAGAAUGCUA